rnacentral:rRNA from 1 species
AUGGCCUUGUCCGGCAGGUGCCGGCCCAUGAUGUACCUCGCCGAGAGCUGCGCCGCGACGACGAUGGCGCGGUCCUGGAUGCGCACGCCGUGGUGCCCCUCGUACUUCUCCUUGAGCCCUCGCAGGAUGCUGAUGGUGUCGGCGACGCUCGGCUCGGCCACGUACACCUGCUGGAACCGCCGCUCGAACGCGGCGUCCUUCUCGACGUACUUGCGGUACUCCUCCAGCGUGGUGGCGCCGAUGCACCGGAGCUGGCCACGCGCGAGCAUCGGCUUGAACAGGUUGGCCGCGUCCAUGGACCCCUCCGUCCUGCCGGCACCGAGGACGAGGUGUAUCUCGUCGAUGAAGAGGAUGACCUUGCCGUCGGCCUCCUCCACCUCCUUGAGCACGGCCUUGAGCCGCUCCUCGAACUCGCCGCGGUACUUGGCGCCGGCGACGAGGGCGCCCAUGUCGAGCGCGACGAGGCGGACGUCGAGCAGGUUGCUGGGCACGUCCCCGCGCACGACGCGCUGCGCGAGGCCCUCCACGACGGCCGUCUUGCCCACGCCGGGCUCGCCGAUGAGGACGGGGUUGUUCUUGGUGCGGCGCGAGAGGAUGCGCACGACGCGGCGGAUCUCCUCGUCGCGGCCGAUGACGGGGUCGAGCUUGCCGGCCACCUCGACGAGGUCGCGGCCGUACGUCUUGAGCGCCUGGAAGUUGGUGUCGCCGGAGGCGGACUCGACCUUGCGCGCGUUGUCCCCGCCGCGGAGCUUCUCGAGCUCGGCGCGCACCCGCGAGGCGGACACGCCGGCCUCCUUGAGGCAGUCGGCGAUCUGCGCGUCCUCGAGGAGGCCCAUGAGCAGCUGGUCGACGGCGAGGUGCGAGUCCCCGCGCUUCUUCUGCGCCGACUGCGCGCGGCGGAUGGCCUUGAUGAGCGCCGUGGAGGCCGGCACGGAGUCCGGCGGCGGCGACUGCGACGGCAGCUUCUUGAGCGCGGCGGAGAGCACGCGCUCGAACGAGUCCCCCGCGGACGCGUUCCCGCCGGACGCCCCCGCCACCGCCUGCCGCAGGAUGCCCGACCUGUCCGCCGCCAGCGCCGCCGCCAGGUGCAGCGGCGUGAUCUGCGCGUGGCCGGCCUCCGACGCCGCCUCGUGCGCCGCCACCAGCGCCUCGUUGGUCUUGUGCGUGAAGUUGUCCGGGUUCAUGGCCGCCGCUGCUUGCGCUCACAACCUACAAUGGAUCAGACAGACUUUGGGUUGGAAGAUUGAUUGGGAAUUUGGGAUCACCAAGUGUUUGUGGGAUUGCUCUGCUUCUGGAGUUCUGGAUUCUGAUGGUGUUGGGGGCCGGAGAGCGGCGGGCAUAAGAAGGAGGGAGCGGAGAGUUCGCCGGGGGUCUAGAAGGUAG